AAACAAUUAAAUUGUUGUAAGAUACAGAAAUAUUUUGUUUUGUUCUCAAAUGCGUAAUAAUGCUAAUAAAUAGCGUGAUCAGGAUGAAUUAUCCAUACAUUUCAGAAAAAUACGUUACCGGCCACCCAUGAGACUAGAGCUCACAUCCCUGUGAUUACACGUCAAAUGCAUUAUCACGCGUUUGAGAAUAAAAAAUUAUAUGAAUGCCUAUUUUUUCUGACUGUUGGAA